GGUCAGUGAUGAACUGGUAUGUAUUAUGAAUGUAAUGUUGAUUAUUAUUAUAUUAGCUCUAGAAUUAGAGAACUU
rfam:Otolemur garnettii contig009105, whole genome shotgun sequence.